rnacentral:rRNA from 1 species
UACAGAGGAUGCAAGCGUUAUCCGGAAUGAUUGGGCGUAAAGCGUCUGUAGGUGGCUUUUUAAGUCCGCCGUCAAAUCCCAGGGCUCAACUCUGGACAGGCGGUGGAAACUACCAAGCUGGAGUACGGUAGGGGCAGAGGGAAUUUCCGGUGGAGCGGUGAAAUGUGUUGAUAUCGGAAGGAACGCCAGAGGCGAAAGCGCCACACUGGGUCUCAACUGACGCUGAGGCACGAAAGCCAGGGGAGCAAACGGG